GACUGCUCCGCGACGGUGAAACUCUUGAAGAUCUCCGGCGUCUGUCCCCAGAAGAAAUUCUCAUGAGAUGGGUUAAUUAUCAUUUGGAACGUGCUGGAACUCAACGUCGCCUACACAAUUUCACAUCAGAUAUUGUCGAUUCAGAGAUUUAUACUCAUUUGCUCCAUCAAAUUGCUCCAAAUGGCUCCGGUGUCACGUUAUCUCCACUCGGAGUCCAUGGAAAUGUCCCAAGAGCCGGAGCAAUGUUAGAUGAAGCCGAGAAGCUUGAUUGUCGGGAAUUUGUGACAGCAACUGAUGUGGCAGCCGGAAAUUACAAAUUAAACUUGGCUUUUGUUGCCAAUUUGUUCAAUAAACAUCCAAAUUUGCCGGAUCCGGGAGCGGAUGAAGUUGGUGAGUUUUUGAAAAAGUCGAAAAUUGACUGAAAAAUAAAAAAUUUCAAAAUUUCAAAAUGACAACUUCCAGCGAUUUUAAUUAAAAAAGGUCCGAUAAAAAAAUAAAAAAUAAGAUUUUUCAUCGAAAAUUCACCGACUCACCGAAGUCGACUAGAAUUCUGAAAAUGACGAUUUUUAGCCAAAAAUUUCAAAUUUUUUCAUUUUUUUGGUGAAAAAUUUGAAAUUUUUGGCUAAAAAUCGUCAUUUUCAGAAUUUUAGGCGACUUUCGGUGAAUUUUCGAUGAAAAAUCUUAUUUUUUAGACUGAUAAUCGCCAUUUUUUGAGAAAAAUCGGAAAUUUUGAACAAAAAUCAUUUUCUCAUUUUCAUUUUCAGAAUUUUAAGCGAAUUUCAGCGAAAAAAUCGGACCUUUUUUAAUUAAAAUCGCUGGAAGUUGUCAUUUUCAAAUUUUAAGCGAUUUUUGGCGAAAAAUUUGAAAUUUCUGGCCGAAAAUCGUCUUUUUCAGAAUUUUAGGGGCGACUUUUGGCGAAAAAUCUAAAAUAUUUAACUGAAAACCACUAAAACUUGAUCAAUUUUAACCUUUUUACUUAAAAUCUCUAAAAAUCGAUUAAUUUUCGAUUUUUUGAUGAAAAGUUCGACAUUUUUUACUGAAAAUCAAUUAAAUUUUAAAUUUUCAGCGAAAAAAUGGAGUUUCUUGUAGAAAAUCGUUAAAAAUUGAUCAAUUUUUCAAAUUUUUACACUAAAAAUCGUCAUUUUCAAAAUUACAGGCAAUUUUCGACAAAAAAAUAAAGCUAAAAAUUCGAUUUUUAAUAAAAAAUGAAUUUUUUUUGCUGGAAAUCGACUUUUUCAGAUUUUCAAACGAUUUUUGAAGAAAAAUUCGGAGUUUUUGACUUCAAAUCGCUAAAAAUUGGCCAAUUGUCGAUAUUUAAUGAAAAAUCUGAAUUUUUUUUGCUGGAAAUCGCUCAAAUUCUGAAUUUGCAGCGAAAAAAUUGCAUUUUUUGUUGAAAAUCGCUAAAAAUUGAAUAAUUUGCGUUUUUUUUUUUGGUGAAAAAUCUUAAUUUUUGACUGAAAAUUGUCUGGAUUCAACUGUAAAUUUGUGAAAAACUGGAAAAAUCGAAAAAAUUGAUUUUUACAUGAAAAUCUUGAAUUUUUCCGUAAGUUGUGUAUUGAAACACGAAAAAUUUCAAUUUUUCUCCAUAUUGCAGCUAAAAAUCUGAAAAUUUUCUAAAAAUCAAAUUUUAUGAAUUUUCAGCCAAUUUUCUGGCAAAAAUUGAAAUUUUUGAGUAAAAAAUUACUUCAAAAAGAUGAAAAAUUGACUUCUUUUUCGAAAAAUUCAAUAGAAAUUUGAAUUUUUAAAACACGAAAAAUACCAAAAUUCCCCACAUUUCCGAACAGUUUCUAAUCGUUUUUCGGAGGUUUUUCAGUGGAAGACGUCAUCGAAGAGACACGUGAAGAGAAAACAUAUAGAAAUUGGAUGAAUUCAAUGGGUGUUGAUCCAUAUGUUAAUUGGUUGUAUGCUGAUCUUCAAAAUGGUGUCGUCAUUUUCCAGGUAAAAAUUGGAUGAAAACCCCGAGUUUUCCGGCGAAAAAUGGACAAAAUUCCGGAAAAACCGAUUUUCCCGGCGGAAAUUUGACAAAAAUCGAAAAAAAUCUAAUUUUCCGGCGGAAGUUUAACAAAAUUCCGGAUAAAUCGAUAUUUCCGGCGGAAAAUCAAUAAAAAUCCGGAAAAAUUGCAUUUUCCGGCGAAAAAUGGACAAAAAUAUUCAGAAAAAUUGCAAAAGUUGAGUUUUUCGAGGUAUUUUAGCUCAAAACGGAUUUAUCUAAAUUUUUUACUGAAAUUUCGCGAAAUUUUGACUUUUUUGAAGAUUUUUCACAUUUUUUGUGAAAAAUCUGCAAAUUAUUCGAUUUUUGCUCUGAAAAUUUCAGUUUUUGAGUUUUCCAAGAAUUUCAGCCGAAAAACGGAUUUUUUCGGUUUUUCUGAAAUUUCUGUGGAAAAUCAAAAUUUUCAAGACCUUUGUGUAAUUUUUCAGCCCGCAUUUUUACCGAGAAAUCGGCGGAAGUUUAACAAAAUUCCGGAAAAAUCGAUAUUUCCGGCGGAAAAUCAAUGGAAAUCCGGAAAAAUUGCAUUUUCCGGCGAAAAAUGGACAAAAGUUCAGGAAAAAUCAAUUUUGCCCUGCGAAAAAUCAAUAAAUUCAGAAAAACCUCAUUUUAACGGCGAAAUUUCGGCAAAAUUCGGUGUGAAUUUGCCCUAAAAAAAGAUCUAAAACUUGCCAAUUUUUUCGGAAAAUCCGUAUUUUUGUACCAAAAAUUCAAAUUUCACAGUUACAGCAUGUGCGCUUCAUUGAGAAAAUCACUCAAAAUUCAAAUUUUGAAGAUUUUCUCAAUGGGGCGCACUUUCAAUCGAUGCGAUGUUUAAAUUUUUUAAAUUUUCAGUCAAAAAAAAAUGCCAAUUUUGCGAGUUUUUGCAGAAAAUUCGCAGUUUUUCCGCAUUUUUCGCUAUAAUUUUCAAAAAAAGAAUUUCAGCUUUACGAUAUAAUCCGACCGGGAAUGGUAACAUGGAAACGAGUUGUACGGACAUUCCAUAAGCUUCGAGGAAUGAUGGAUCAAAUUCAGAAUUGCAAUUAUGCUGUUGAACUUGGAAAACAGCUCAGAUUCUCACUUGUCGGAAUUCAGGGAAAAGGUUGAUACUUAAAAUUUUUUGGAAUUUUUACGGAAAAUUAUGACAAAAAUUUACGAAACCCAUGAAAAUUUGGCUGAUUUUUGGUCUGAAAAUGCUGAAAUCGGCAGAUUUUUGACUAAAGAAUUUGCUGAAAACGGAGAAUUCUUUUUUUUUUGUUGAAAAUCGCUAAAAAUUUAAUAAUUUCCGUUUUUUUUGGUGAAAAAUCUUAAUUUUUUGACUGAAAAUUGUCUGGAUUGAUCAACUGUAAAUUUGUGAAAAACUGGAAAAAUCGAAAAAAAAUUGAUUUUUAAAUGAAAAUCUUGAAUUUUUCCGUAAGUUCUGUAUUAAAACACGAAAAAUUUCAAUUUUUCUCCAUUUUGCAGCUAAAAAUCUGAAAAUUUUCUAAAAAUCAAAUUUUAUAGUAGAUACUUAAAAUUUUUUGGAAUUUUUACGGAAAAUUAUGACAAAAAUUCGAAACCCAUGAAAAUUUGGCUGAUUUUUGGUCUAAAAUGCUGAAAUCGGCAGAUUUUUGACUAAAGAAUUUGCUGAAAACGGAGAAUUAUAUUCGCUUUAUAAAUUUUUAUUUUCCGAAAUAAAAAUCAGCAAAUCGAAAUUUUCAUACAACCCGCCGACUCAAAAAAAAACACAAAAAUUUAUGGUUUUCAUUUAAAUUUUCCAACAAAAAAAAACCCAAAAAAAUCUAAUUUUCCACACAAAAGUUCCCUAAAAACCUUCCAAACUCUAAUGUUAUCACAAAAACCCAAAAACUUGGGUGAAAUUCAUUUUCAUUCAGAUUUUCCUUUUUUUAAAUUCCUAAAAACCUAAUUUUUCACGCAAAAAACUAGACAUUUUCCAAAAAAUAUUAAUUUUCCCCCCGAAAAUCUAAAAAGUUCCCAAAAAAUUCAAAUUUCCACCCUAAAAUCCAAAAAUUUCCAUCCUAAAACCAAAAUUUUUCCAAAAAAAAAAAUCGUAUUUUUCUCCAAAUUUACCCAAUUUUUCUUGGAAAACAGCUCAGAUUCUCACUUGUCGGAAUUCAGGGAAAAGGUAGAGAGAAAUUCUUCAGAAAUACCAAGAAUUUGGCUGAAAACUGGACAAAUUUUGAGAUUUUUGGCGUAACUAACUGUAAAAAGCGUGAAAUUUUGAAAGAGAAAUCUGGAAAAAAUCAUAAAAAUGAUUAGGAAAUUACUGAAAAUUAUAAUUUUUUCAAAUUGAGAUAGAUAUUUUUUGCUGAAAUAACGAAAAAUAUGUGCUUUUAUUGAAAAAAAAUACCAAAAAAAACAUGAAGAUAUGGAAUUUUCCAAAAAAAAAAAAAUCCACUUUUUCAGAGAAAAAAUUGAAUAUUUUUACAAAUUUCACCCAAAAAACCGAUAAAAUGCCAUAAAAAAGAGCACAAUUUUCAAUUUUAGGAAAUUUCAUAUUUUUGAAAUAAAAAAUCGCUUAAAAAUCCUUUUUUUCUGAAAAUGCUCAAAAUUCGCAAAAGAGCUCAGCUUGCUCCAAAUUAUGCUCGAAAAAACAGAAAAAUCUCAGAAAUUUGCUACGAAAAGCUCUGAAAACUUCAAAAUUGCCAAAAUUGCCGAAAAUGGGCCAAAAUUUUGAUGAGAACGAACUUUUUUGACAAAAAAAAAUUUGUCCAAAAAAUCGCAUUUUUCUCCAAAUUUACCAACAUUUUUCGUUACAGAUAUCUACGACGGCAAUCAAACAUUGACAUUAGCUCUCGUUUGGCAGCUAAUGCGUGCCUAUACCCUCUCAGUUCUUGCUCAAUGUACUCAAUCUGGUGAUUCCCUGCCAGCUGAUAAGGAUAUUGUUGCAUGGGUUAACGAAAAGCUCAAAAAUUCUGGAAAAUCCACAUCAAUUCGAUCGUUCCAAGACCCGGCAAUUUCCGAUGGAAAAGUUGUAUUGGAUCUGAUUGAUGCAAUUAAACCAAACGUUAUUGAUCAUAGUUUGGUGAAAAGUGGCAAAAGUAAUGAGGAUAAAAUGUCAAAUGCAAAAUAUGCAAUCACUUGUGGACGAAAGAUUGGAGCAAAGAUUUACGCGUUGCCAGAGGAUAUUGUUGAG
rnacentral:sRNA from 1 species